rfam:Brassica oleracea var. oleracea cultivar TO1000 chromosome C9, whole genome shotgun sequence
GGAAUAUAAGAACCUGUCUCUUAACUUUUAACUAAAAAAAUUACGAACCGACUCUUAAAUAAGAGUUUUAAGAGACAGUUUUUAGUUUUUUUAGUUAAAAGUUAAGAGACAAGUUCUUAUAUUCC